UCCUAACAGCUGAUCGGCGGUUCCAAAAUGGCCGCCGGGUAAAAAAAACAGGUUUUAAUGCAUUCCUAUGGGCUUUUUUAUUUCGCAUAGCGACGAAUCCACAUAGCAAUGAUUUUUCCAGAACAGAUUAUCGUCGCUAUGCGGGGCACCACUGUAUCUAUAUGAGGCCGCUGGGUGGGAUCAUCAGGGGGUGUGGGGCAUCGUGCCAUCAGUACGCUAAUGACACUCAGCUCUACAUCUCCUUUUCUCCAACCACAGUGGAUGCCGUUCUGUCCCUUCAGCGCUGUCUGGAGACUACUGCAGUGGAUGCAGGGGAAUGGGUUGAGGCUGAACCUGGACAAGAUGGAGGUCCUGAGGGUGGGUGCCCCCAUCAUCGACGGUUUGGGAAACUCCCUUUCUUUUGGGGGGUGACUGUCACUGCGAAGAGUGAGGCUCGCAGUUUGGGGAUCCAUCUGGACCUGGUGCUCACCAUCGAAACUCAGGUGGCAUCAGUGGUCCCCUCUGCCUAUUUCCAUCUUUGGCGGAUUGCCCAGCUGUGUCCCUAUUUUGAUGCUGGGGCGCUCACCACUCUAGUCCAUGCACUUGUAAUCUUGAUAUUAGACCACUGUAAUGCACUCUAUGUGGGGCUACCUUUGAGAUUGAUGCAGAGGCUUCAGAUGGUGCAGAAUGCGGCGGCCAGAGCUCUUAGUUGGGUGAGAAAACAUCAUCAUAUCUCUUCCACUCUGGCCGCUUUGCAUUGGCUGCCCCUUCAUUUCCGUGUAGAUUUCAAAGUUUUAAUGAUUACGUAUAAAACCUUAAAUGGUUUAGGGCCUCAUUAUCUAGCAGAAUGCCUCCUCCCACCUAAAUCUACCUGUAUCACCCGAUCUAUUCAGGAGGUGCGACUGAGGAGCCUAUGGCCAAGGGACGCCCGGAAGGAAAAAAUAAGAAACCGGGCCUUCUCGGCAGUGGCUCCUCAUCUUUGGAAUAACCUUCCUACAGAGAUCCGUAUGGCCUGCUCGCUGGGUAUUUUUAAAAGUCAAUUGAAAACCUGGCUGUUUAGGCAGGCCUUCCCUCCAGGCACUACUUGAUUUAUUUUUUCUUUUUCUUUUCUAUCUUGAAUUAUUGUUUAUUGUUGUUGUAAAUCACUGUUACUUUUAAAUUGUUUUAUUCACUUGCUGUCAGUCACCCAGAGUAGUCUAUGACUAAAUGGGCGGGNNNNNNNNNNNNNNNN
rnacentral:lncRNA from 1 species